CCUACGGGAGGCAGCAGUAGGGAAUAUUGCUCAAUGGGGGAAACCCUGAAGCAGCGACGCCGCGUGGAGGAUGAAGGUUUUCGGAUUGUAAACCCCUUUUGUUAGAGAAGAUAAUGACGGUAUCUAACGAAUAAGCACCGGCUAACUCCGUGCCAGCAGCCGCGGUAAUACGGAGGGUGCAAGCGUUACUCGGAAUCACUGGGCGUAAAGGGCGCGUAGGCGGGAGAGCAAGUCAGAAGUGAAAUCCUAUGGCUUAACCAUAGAACUGCAUUUGAAACUGUUAUUCUAGAGUAUAGGAGAGGUAGGCGGAAUUCUUGGUGUAGGGGUAAAAUCCGUAGAGAUCAAGAGGAAUACGCAUUGCGAAGGCGACCUGCUAGAACAUAACUGACGCUGAUGCGCGAAAGCGUGGGGAGCAAACAGGAUUAGAUACCCGAGUAGUC
rnacentral:rRNA from 1 species